UACGAAGGGGGCUAGCGUUGUUCGGAAUCACUGGGCGUAAAGCGCACGUAGGCGGAUUGUUAAGUCGGGGGUGAAAUCCUGAGGCUCAACCUCAGAACUGCCUUCGAUACUGGCAAUCUCGAGUCCGGAAGAGGUUGGUGGAACAGCUAGUGUAGAGGUGAAAUUCGUAGAUAUUAAGCUAGAACACCAGUGGCGAAGGCGGGUG
rnacentral:rRNA from 1 species